CCUACGGGUGGCAGCAGUGAGGAAUAUUGGUCAAUGGGCGCAAUCCUGAACCAGCCAUGCCGCGUGCAGGAAGACGGCUCUACGAGUUGUAAACUGCUUUUGUACCGGGGUAACAUGCCUUACGAGUAGGGUUUUGAAAGUACGGUACGAAUAAGGAUCGGCUAACUACGUGCCAGCCGCGGCGGUAAUACGGAGGAUCCGCGCGUUAUCCGGAUGCAUUGGGUUUAAAGGGAGCGUAGGGUGUUUUAUAAGUCAGCGGUGAAAUCCCGUGGCUUAACAUGGGGGCUGCCGCUAAAAGUGUAGGACUAGAGAUCGGAUGCGGCAGGCGGAAUUUGUAGUGUAGCGGUGAAAUGCGUAGAGAUUAGGCAGAACACCGAUGGCGAAGGCAGCUUGCUAGGCCAGAACUGACACUGAUGCACGAAAGCGUGGGGAUCAAACAGGAUUAGAUACCCGUGUAGUC
rnacentral:rRNA from 1 species